rnacentral:rRNA from 1 species
AUUGAACGCUGGCGGCAUGCUUUACACAUGCAAGUCGAACGGCAGCGCGGGCUUCGGCCUGGCGGCGAGUGGCGAACGGGUGAGUAAUGCAUCGGAACGUGCCCAGUAGUGGGGGAUAGCCCGGCGAAAGCCGGAUUAAUACCGCAUACGACCUGAGGGUGAAAGCGGGGGGCCGAAAGGCCUCGCGCUAUUGGAGCGGCCGAUGUCGGAUUAGCUAGUUGGUGGGGUAAAGGCUUACCAAGGCGACGAUCCGUAGCUGGUCUGAGAGGACGACCAGCCACACUGGAACUGGGACACGGCCCAGACUCCUACGGGAGGCAGCAGUGGGGAAUUUUGGACAAUGGGGGCAACCCUGAUCCAGCCAUGCCGCGUGCGGGAAGAAGGCCUUCGGGUUGUAAACCGCUUUUGUUCGGGAAGAAAUCCUCUGGGCUAAUACCCCGGGGGGAUGACGGUACCGGAAGAAUAAGCACCGGCUAACUACGUG